rnacentral:misc_RNA from 1 species
UCCGGCUUAUCACCGGCGGUUUCCUCAGAGUACCCGGCCUAACCCGUUGGUAACAGAGGACGAGGGUUGCGCUCGUUGCGGGACUUAACCCAACAUCUCACGACACGAGCUGACGACAGCCAUGCAGCACCUGUGCACCUCCCACCCGAAGUGAAGGAAGCUGUUUCCAGCGACCAUAGAGGGCAUGUCAAGUCUUGGUAAGGUUCUUCGCGUUGCCUCGAAUUAAACCACAUGUUCCACCGCUUGUGCGGGUCCCCGUCAAUUCCUUUGAGUUUUAAUCUUGCGACCGUACUCCCCAGGCGGGGUGCUUAACGCGUUAGCUGCGCCACUGAGAUCUACGAUCCCAACAGCUAGCACCCAUCGUUUACAGCGUGGACUAC